GACGGAGGGGGCUAGCGUUGUUCGGAAUUACUGGGCGUAAAGAGCGCGUAGGCGGAUUAGUAAGUUGGAAGUGAAAGCCCAAGGCUUAACCUUGGAACUGCUUUCAAAACUGCUAGUCUUGAGUGAAGUAGGGGGUGAUGGAAUUCCUAGUGUAGAGGUGAAAUUCUUAGAUAUUAGGAGGAACACCGGUGGCGAAGGCGGUCACCUGGGCUUCAACUGACGCUGAGGCGCGAAAGCGUGGGGAGCAAACAGG
rnacentral:rRNA from 1 species